rnacentral:lncRNA from 1 species
CCAAACUUAGCACGCCUAUGGACCCCAAAAAAAAGAAAAAAAAAACGAGUUGUUUCACAGUUCUGCCAAAACAGGACAAGACAAUGGUUUGCGGAGCGAGUGUCCAGUUCCAGGCCCCUACCCGGUUCGAGGGCGGUGAACAAUGGGCGAGCUAGGUAGAUCGGGUUACGUCCGGUUGCCCCGCACUCCUCCGAACCGGGAUCCUCGGGAAAUCAACGCAACUCGCAGCAAAUUAAAAUAAAACUCAGAGAAACCUACGUAGGGAGAGUCACACGUCGUCGAGGGUCGGCGGUCGAGGUCCGAGGGUCGGCGGUCGAGGUCCGAGCGCGACGAUCGAUCGUCGUCGUCUUCUUCGGUCGGAACUCGAGGCUAGCGC